GGCGUUGUGGCUCAGCGGUAGAGCGCUCACCUCGCGUGUGCGGGACCCUGGGUUGGAUCCUCAGCACCA
rnacentral:tRNA from 1 species